rnacentral:rRNA from 1 species
UACGGAGGGGGCUAGCGUUGUUCGGAAUUACUGGGCGUAAAGCGCGCGUAGGCGGACCUGCAAGUCGGGGUGAAAGCCCGAGGCUCAACCUCGGAACUGCCUUCGAUACUGCGGGUCUCGAGUCCGGGAGAGGUGAGUGGAAUUCCUGGUGGUAGCGGUGGAAUGCGCAGAUAUCAGGAAGAACACCCGUGGCUAAGGCGGCUCCUCUAGUACGGUACUGACGCUGAGACGCGAAAGCGUGGGGAGC